UAAAGGUUAGUAUGGUUGUCUGUUUACUUAAGUACAUAAAUCCAGUUGGCUAGAGCACUUUCACAUUCCUCGUUAGAAAGUGAUUUAUUACAGACACCAAGUUCAACCAAAAUGAAAUAUUUUUGCCUGUGUGUUUUGAUGAUGACUUUAAUGUUUAUAAUGAUUCAGGGAAACGAGAAUGUGGGGACUACUUUCACAAAGAAAAUUGUCAGUAUCAGGGCUAAAAGAAUAGAUGGAAUAUACGGCAUCACCAAGAAACGUCUAUGUAGUAGGAGGAUUCCACGUCGAAGAUUCUGCAAACAAUGAAUUUUAUAAAUGUGAUCUCUUCGGAAGAAAUAAUUGCAUAUUUUCACACCCUUUGAAUUAUCUAUUUGUUCUUGUCAGUUAAAAUGUUGCCACAUUACCUAGUACUGUACGUAAUAUUCAAGCCAAAAAAGGUUUUUAAAGACGUUAUUAAUGUUACUUAAAAGCUGUGCAACAAUUUUUUACUGAAGUUCUGUAAUUAAAACACAACCAACGAUUAAUACUCAGUACAACUGACUGUGAAUACAUUGUACCUUUAUAAUAUAAACAAUAAAAUGCUCUUUCUUACA